rfam:Streptomyces sp. WM6378 P402contig282.1, whole genome shotgun sequence.
GAGGGAGCUGUCGAAGGUGGGACUGGCGAUUGGGACGAAGUCGUAACAAGGUAGCCGUACCGGAAGGUGCGGCUGGAUCACCUCCUUU